rnacentral:rRNA from 1 species
UACAGAGGUCUCAAGCGUUGUUCGGAUUCAUUGGGCGUAAAGGGUUCGUAGGUGGCCAACUAAAGUCAUACGUGAAAUCCCUCAGCUUAACUGGGGAACUGCGUCUGAUACUGGUUGGCUUGAGUGCAGGAGAGGAACGCGGAAUUCCAGGUGUAGCGGUGAAAUGCGUAGAUAUCGUAAGGAAGACCAGUGGCGAAGGCGGGUCUCUGGACAGUUCCUGACGCUGAGGCACGAAGGUCAGGGGAGCAAACGGG